AGAAAUUGUAAGAUUUCUUUUAACAUGGAUUUCUCCACCCCAUCCUUUCCCAUAACAGUUUUCUAGAUUUGGGAGACUUCAAAAGGUGGGGCAUACAGAAUGGAGAUGUCAGAGGUCUCUUUGGGUAUACAAGGACCUGAUAAAGUAACGGAAUAAUUCUAAUUUUAGAGAAGCGGUAGUCCUCAUGCUGGGAUGGCAGAAGAUAACCCUGAUGCUAAGAGCCCCAAGACUGGGGCAAGGCCCCAAGGUGGUGCUGAGGCUGGGGAACCUACCACCCUUCUCCAGAGGCUCCGAGGUACCAUUUCCAAGGCCGUGCAGAACAAAGUAGAGGGGAUUCUGCAAGAAGUACAGAAGUUCUCAGACAACGACAAGCUGUACCUCUACCUGCAGCUUCCUUCAGGGCCCAGCACUGGAGAU
rnacentral:lncRNA from 1 species